rnacentral:tRNA from 1 species
AAGGUUUUAAGUUAACAAAACUUUUAACCUUCAAAGUUAACAUUAAAUAUAUAUAUAUUUAAACCUUA